ACUCGCUUUACGUGACAGUUGGCUGAUAUUCAACAAAAUUGACGCAACUAUUGUCGGCAGAGUCAGAAAUGCUCGUGCUACUUCCUCAAAAAACUCAGGACAGGACAGUCUGACACCAAGAUGAACCUGACUGUGGACUCCUCAGCCAAGAGGGGGGAAUGGCUUGUCCUCAGUUACACUCAUGGAGGCCAGGUGGAGAGCAGGACACAGAGGAGAGGAGCUCGUCCAGCCACCGACAGAGAGACAGAGAGACAGAGAGGAGACAGGAGCACUGGAAGA